rnacentral:rRNA from 1 species
CGAGUGAAGCGGCAACAGCUCAAAUUUGAAAUCUGGCUCCUUCGGGGCCCGAGUUGUAAUUUGCAGAGGAUGCUUCGGGUACGGGUUCCUUCCGAGUUCCCUGGAACGGGACGCCAUAGAGGGUGAGAGCCCCGUCUGGUAGGACACCCAGCCCGUGUGAAGCUCCCUCGGCGAGUCGAGUAGUUUGGGAAUGCUGCUCUAACGGGAGGUAUACUCCUUCCAAGGCUAAAUACCGGCUGGAGACCGAUAGCGCACAAGUAGAGUGAUCGAAAGAUGAAAAGCACUUUGAAAAGAGAGUCAAAUAGCACGUGAAAUUGUUGAAAGGGAAGCGCUCGCUACCAGACAUGGGUUCGGCGGUUCAACCGGGGCCACGCCCCGGGGCACUCCGCCGGCCCAGGCCAGCAUCAGCUUUCCGUCGGGGGCAAAGACGUCGGGAAUGUGGCUCCCCUCCGGGGGAGUGUUAUAGCCCGGCGUGUCAUACCCUUCGGGGGGCUGAGGUACGCGCUUCUGCAAGGAUGCUGGCGUAAUGGUAGCUAGUGACCCGUCUUGAAACACGGACCAAGGAGUCAACCUUAUGUGCGAGUGCCCGGGCGUAAAACCCCAGCGCGGAAUGAAAGUGAACGUAGGUGAGAGCUUCGGCGCAU